AAUUAAUGCUAUUUUUUUUUAAAUUUCUAUUAACGAAACUAUCCUUUAUAAGCAAAAGUGGGAAACAAGAACAUUUGUACAUAAAGAAUACGUUCUAGCUAGGGAAAUCAAGACUUUCAAAGCAUGAUGAACAGAAUAAAAGUAUAUGCAGUUUCAUAUAUCAUUGGCUUCAAUUCUUGUUGCUGUUAAUUAUAAAAGUUGAAAAAUUAGCAGGCGUUGGGUUCAUAGCCCAGUGGUAGAGCAUUUGACUGCAGAUCAAGAGGUCAC
rnacentral:misc_RNA from 1 species